AAACCAUGAUGAGGACACUCGAAGAGAAGGUCUUUGAAAUGUUCCAUGCAUCGAGAAAAUGAUUCAUUGGGUUGCUGGAGAAACUGGAGAAUGUCGUUCCUAAGCUU
rnacentral:snoRNA from 1 species